GAUGAUGUUGGCAAUCCAUGUGCCCAAAGCACAGAUAGUCUUCGAUGAAAAAUACACUUACCAAAACUCUUCCGGCAAUGGAUUCAAAUUUUGAAUCUUAAUUCCUAAUCUUAACUUUUUCAAAAUCUCACACUCUCUCCCUCAGAAACAACCAUCGAUCAUAUAUUUCCUCUCCCCCACCAUGUAUCGCCGCCUUCUCCACCAAAUACAACAACUUCAUCACUCACCACAUGCUCCACCGGUGUCGCCUUCUCCACUUCCAUAUGACCACCGCCCCACCACCAUCCAUCGAUGUCGCCUUUUUCGCUUCCACUAUGCCUCCCUCUAUUUCUUCUUCAAUAUAUAUGUAACUUAUCAACCACACCAUUUAUUUGAUGCUCUCUUUCUCUACUGUAGAAACGGGAAAGAUACCUGGGAAAGACACAAAUUCCAUCGCCAUUGCUGUAGAAUACAUCAUCUCAUGAUUAAAUAUCUUCCCCUGUCGAUCUACAAGUAAGUUAUAUAUCCAUUUUUUUGUUUUUCUUCCUUAAUGAAGUCAAACCUAGUUUAGGGUUUUUACGUUUUUCUUAUUUGGUUCAUGUCAAUUGAAUGUAUUUCGUGUUUCUGCAGGGGAUUUUGACGUUUCUGGGAUUGAAAUCGAACAGGGGAUUGUAAUUUCUAACAUUCAAAUCGAACAGGUUCACAUUUCAAGCUUCCUUAAUCCACAACUCUGAACAAGAAAAAAGAUUAAAAAAUAAUAAUUGAAAAAAAAUUCUUUUUCAUUUGUGUAGAAUCGCAGAUAGAGGAAAGAAAAGAAACUUGGAGACCAAACAUGAAGCCUAACCAUAAGAGGUUUGAUUUUGAUUUAUUUUUGCAUUUUUGCAGUCAAAGAUGGAUGAAGACAUAUCUGGAGGAGACAAGUCUGUGAAAUGAGUUGAAAGGUUAUUUUAUUUUUAAUCUUUUCAUCUAUAUAGGUUUCAAAUCAGAACCCAUGGUUGAUACAUGGGAAAUAGCUUACUUAUUUUGAGAUAACAAAGUUUGGUUCUUUGUUAUUUCAUAUAUUCUCAAAACAGAUUUGGUCUUUUUGUUAUCUAAGAUUAACUCACAACAUUGUUUUUUUUUUAAAAAAAAAAAUCUUAUACCAGAUUUAAUUGCAAUAGGUUUGGAGGUCUCCAGUUAAAUAGAAAGCUAUACCUUUUUUUUUCUCACCAUAUAAUGAUUUUGAACCAGUUUGAUGUUUGUUUAAUAAGGAUAUUUUGGAUUUUGUUCCAGGUUUGUAAAUAGAAAUAGAAGCAGAAAGUAGCAUGGUCAAAAGCUCUGAAUUUUAUUUGUUCCAUGUUUCUCUUCUUUAUAUUAAAGCAUUGACAUCAUUUUUAUUAAGGCAUUUAAUAUGAAAUAACAACUGACUUAUGGAUCUAAAAUAAAUUUUUGAUAAUUUAUGAACACUAACCCUCUACUUUUGUUUUUUUUUCUUAUUAAGCCAUCAUAUUUUGGAAAAGUCCACUUGAAUAUAACAAUGAAAAUUACAAACAUGGUUGUAAAUGUGUAGAUGUUCUAAUUUGGGAUUUUUUUGGGUUAAAUCCAAGAAAUAGAAACAUGCUUUACAAAUUAAUUAAAGUAUCUUGCUGUUAUUUUCCAUGUGGUUUUAAUUUUUAUAGUGUUUGAAUGUUAAUUUUGGUGCAGACAUUUUGAGCCAAAGAAGUGGGCAUCCUACUAGCCCUAAAAAAUAGAGCUGACAAUUCUCGACACGACCCGUGACACGACAGGAAAUAAAUGGGUUUGGGUUGAGUUUUUCAACCCGCCAACCCGCCUAUUAAACGGGUCAUAUAUGGGUUUUUCAAAAAAUAAAUGAGUUGACCCGCCAACCCGUUUAUAUACUCAAUAAAAAAAAUUAUUUUAUUUUUAAAUGUAUUUAUAUAUCAACUAUUAAUAUUUAAUAAGUCUUAUAUAAUAUAUAUCAUUGAUUAUUAGACCAUUUGACUAUUUUGACAUUUUGGCUCGUGGUGGAUGGUCUAAGGUCGUAAGUCGUAAUCUCUAAGGCUAAGUCUGUAACAUGUUUUUAUAAAUGUUUUUAAUUUUCAUUUGGAUGUUUAAGACUUAAAUGUCUAAAAUUUGGACCCACGAACCCAAAUCUAACCCAUGAACCUGCCAACCUGUGAACCCGUAUAAAUAAAUGGGUUUGCGGGUCAUAUGAUGGGUGCAGUUUGGCCGAAUAAAAUUUGAGAAUUUUCAACAUCAUGUAGGUUAUGAUUUGUAAAAUUUGGGCCUAGAUCAAGAACCGAACCGGACUGCCGGUUCUGGUUUUUGCAGGGUCUUCGAUGUCAGAACCGUCCUUCGAGAAAUAGCAACGUAUUCUGAGAAAUGUUUCGGUUAUGGUUUUGGUUAACGUCAGCUCUUGUCGAUCUUUGUUUAGCUAAUUGUUUGAUAAAUGCGAUGGUUAACCAAGCAAAUAUAAUUGGGUCAGUGAGAGGACUUUU
rnacentral:lncRNA from 1 species